GGCGAACGCUGGCGGCGUGCCUAAUACAUGCAAGUAGAACGCUGAAGAGAGGAGCUUGCUCUUCUUGGAUGAGUUGCGAACGGGUGAGUAACGCGUAGGUAACCUGCCUUGUAGCGGGGGAUAACUAUUGGAAACGAUAGCUAAUACCGCAUAACAAUGGAUGACACAUGUCAUUUAUUUGAAAGGGGCAAUUGCUCCACUACAAGAUGGACCUGCGUUGUAUUAGCUAGUAGGUGAGGUAAUGGCUCACCUAGGCGACGAUACAUAGCCGACCUGAGAGGGUGGUCGGCCACACCGGGACUGAGACACGGCCCAGACUCCUACGGGAGGCAGCAGUAGGGAAUCUUCGGCAAUGGGGGCAACCCUGACCGAGCAACGCCGCGUGAGUGAAGAAGGUUUUCGGAUCGUAAAGCUCUGUUGUAAGUCAAGAACGGGUGUGAGAGUGGAAAGUUCACACUGUGACGGUAGCUUACCAGAAAGGGACGGCUAACUACGUG
rnacentral:rRNA from 1 species